rnacentral:rRNA from 1 species
AGUGAACGCUGGCGGCAGGCCUAACACAUGCAAGUCGAACGGCAGCACAGGAGAGCUUGCUCUCUGGGUGGCGAGUGGCGGACGGGUGAGGAAUACGUCGGAAUCUGCCUAUUUGUGGGGGAUAACGUAGGGAAACUUACGCUAAUACCGCAUACGACCUACGGGUGAAAGCGGAGGACCUUCGGCUUCGCGCAGAUAGAUGAGCCGACGUCGGAUUAGCUUGNGGUCGGGGUAAAGGGCCCACCCAAGGCGACGAUCCGUAGCUGGUCUGAGAGGAUGAUCAGCCACACUGGAACUGAGACACGGUCCAGACUCCUACGGGAGGCAGCAGUGGGAAUAUUGGACAAUGGGCGCAAGCCUGAUCCAGCCAUGCCGCGUGUGUGAAGAAGGCC